rnacentral:rRNA from 1 species
ACUCCUACGGGAGGCAGCAGUGGGGAAUAUUGGACAAUGGGCGCAAGCCUGAUCCAGCCAUGCCGCGUGAGUGAUGAAGGCCCUAGGGUUGUAAAGCUCUUUCACCGGUGAAGAUAAUGACGGUAACCGGAGAAGAAGCCCCGGCUAACUCCGUGCCAGCAGCCGCGGUAAUACGAAGGGGGCUAGCGUUGUUCGGAUUUACUGGGCGUAAAGCGCACGUAGGCGGACUAUUAAGUCAGGGGUGAAAUCCCGGGGCUCAACCCCGGAACUGCCUUUGAUACUGGUAGUCUUGAGUUCGAGAGAGGUGAGUGGAAUUCCGAGUGUAGAGGUGAAAUUCGUAGAUAUUCGGAGGAACACCAGUGGCGAAGGCGGCUCACUGGCUCGAUACUGACGCUGAGGUGCGAAAGCGUGGGGAGCAAACAGGAUUAGAAACCCUGGUAGUCCCA